rnacentral:sRNA from 1 species
GUUUUGAAGUCAAAUAUGACUUGAUGGCAUGUGUAUGAUUGAGUAUAGGAACUCAACCACAACCGGAUCUUGAAAGCCCAAGUAGUGUUUCCUUUUUAGAAGGUACAAAGACAAAGACUCAUACGGACUUUGGGUACACCAUCAAAACUUUGAGAAGCAAGAAGAAGCUUGGUUAAUGUUUUGGAAUCAAAUAUGACUUGAUGUCAUGUGUAUGAUGGAGUAUAAGGACGAGAAUUGCAACCGGAUCUUAAAAGCCUAAGUAGUGUUUCCUUGUUAGAAGAUACAAAGCCAAUGAAUCAUACGGACUUUCGCUACACCAUCAAAGCUUUGUGAAGCAAGAAGAAGCUUAGUUA